rnacentral:rRNA from 1 species
UACGGGGGGAGCAAGCGUUGUUCGGAUUUACUGGGCGUAAAGGGCGCGUAGGCGGUCAGCACAAGUCAGUUGUGAAAUCUCCGGGCUUAACUCGGAAAGGUCAACUGAUACUGUGCGACUAGAGUGUGGAAGGGGCAACUGGAAUUCUCGGUGUAGCGGUGAAAUGCGUAGAUAUCGAGAGGAACACCUGCGGCGAAGGCGGGUUGCUGGGCCGACACUGACGCUGAUGCGCGAAAGCCAGGGGAGCGAAUGGG